GGGGCCGUAGUCUAGCUUGGUUAGGAUUUAAGCUCGGGGAGCUUACGACGGGAGUUCAAAACUCCCCGGUCCCA
rnacentral:tRNA from 1 species